rnacentral:rRNA from 1 species
UCGGGAAUAUUGCGCAAUGGAGGAAACUCUGACGCAGUGACGCCGCGUGCAGGAAGAAGGUUUUCGGAUUGUAAACUGCUUUAGACAGGGAAGAUAAUGACAGUACCUGUAGAAUAAGCUCCGGCUAACUACGUGCCAGCAGCCGCGGUAAUACGUAGGGAGCAAGCGUUAUCCGGAUUUAUUGGGUGUAAAGGGUGCGUAGACGGGAAAUUAAGUUAGUUGUGAAAUCCCUCGGCUUAACUGAGGAAUUGCAACUAAAACUGGUUUUCUUGAGUGCUGGAGAGGAAAGUGGAAUUCCUAGUGUAGCGGUGAAAUGCGUAGAUAUUAGGAGGAACACCAGUGGCGAAGGCGACUUUCUGGACAGUAACUGACGUUGAGGCACGAAAGUGUGGGGAGCAAACA